rnacentral:rRNA from 1 species
UUCCGUAGGUGAACCUGCGGAAGGAUCAUUACCGAGUGCGGGCUGCCUCCGGGCGCCCAACCUCCCACCCGUGACUACCUAACACUGUUGCUUCGGCGGGGAGCCCUCUCGGGGGCGAGCCGCCGGGGACUACUGAACUUCAUGCCUGAGAGUGAUGCAGUCUGAGUCUGAAUAUAAAAUCAGUCAAAACUUUCAACAAUGGAUCUCUUGGUUCCGGCAUCGAUGAAGAACGCAGCGAACUGCGAUAAGUAAUGUGAAUUGCAGAAUUCAGUGAAUCAUCGAGUCUUUGAACGCACAUUGCGCCCCCUGGCAUUCCGGGGGGCAUGCCUGUCCGAGCGUCAUUGCUGCCCAUCAAGCCCGGCUUGUGUGUUGGGUCGUCGUCCCCCCCGGGGGACGGGCCCGAAAGGCAGCGGCGGCACCGUGUCCGGUCCUCGAGCGUAUGGGGCUUUGUCACCCGCUCGAUUAGGGCCGGCCGGGCGCCAGCCGACGUCUCCAACCAUUUUCUUCAGGUUGACCUCGGAUCAGGUAGGGAUACCCGCUGAACUUAAGCAUAUCAAUAAGCGGAGGAA